AUGUAGGGUAAUCUGUCUUUAAGUAGGGAGAAAUUGCUCUAAAAAAAAAAAAAGAAUCCUAGAUAGUUUUCCCUUCAAGUCAAGCAUCUUGU
rnacentral:pre_miRNA from 1 species